AAUAUCUUUCUGAUACCUUUAGUUUAGACAAAACCAACCUGUGCAACAAGGGAGACUGUUCCCUUUUCUCAAAGGCAAAUGAGAAAACAACCCCAAACUACCUUCUGUCCCUUGGUCUUCUACUGCUGCUUUGUUAGGACCUCCAAUUCCCUUGCCUCCUUGCAGGGUCAGCUGCUGAGGGCCAGGAUGUCCCACCCCACAUCCCAGGAUGUUCUGCAUGGCCGCCCUGCCCACGACCCUCCCAAGGCAGUGGUCAUUGCUGCUUUGGCUUUGCUACAGGCGGUUCCAGCUGUAUCCCCCCCAGCUGGUGCUGCUCUGCAACCCACCUAAGAGGUGCACUCAGGCUGACAUCUCCCACCUGAUGAGGCCCUUCUGGGGAGCAGUUUGAAAACCGUGGCUCUAUUUCUCCAACAAGAAUAGAAGAUGUAGAUCACGAAAGACAGAGCUUCUGUCCCAACUUACCACAUAUUUUGAGAUGCAAUUUGGUGGAAAGGCUUUCUCCAAAAGAGGGUUUUAGUAGGCUUUUAUGACUUAUGCAAUGUCAGUAUAUGCCCUUAUAACAUUUGUAUGAAGUUGCUCUGUUGAAACUACUCUAAACUUCUCUAACUUCUCACCCCCCUCAUCUGGACACUCCUCUCCUUCCCAUGUAGCCUCACUUCCAAACAGCCUUUUUCUUCCUGUGCUUCAUGUCCUAAAACUUCUUCAACCAAGCCCAGAAGAACAAA